CAAACGUUUGUUAACGCACUCUCCCUUUAAACCUCGUCGAGGAUUGUGGGAAAUGUAGUCAGCGCCGUAUUGCUGUUGUCCACAGCUGAAGUCUCACAGUUUCACAGUCCACCAUGGCGGACGAACAAGAGAUAAUGUGCAAGCUAGAAAACAUCAAAGAAAUAAGGAAUAAGACAAUUCAGAUGGAGAAGAUCAAAUCUCGACUGAGGAGUGAGUUUGAAGCUCUGGAGUCAGAAGAGAAGCACCUGAGAGAGUACAAACAGGAAAUGGAUCUUCUGCUGCAGGAGAAAAUGGCUCAUGUAGAGGAGCUGCGUCUCAUACAUGCUGAUAUU